AGAGUUUGAUCAUGGCUCAGAACGUACGCUGGCGGCACGCCUAAUACAUGCAAGUCGAACGAGGUAGCAAUACCUAGUGGCAGACGGGUGAGUAACAUGUGGGUAUCUUCCCUUUGGUGAGGAAUAACACGAGGAAACUUGUGCUAAUACCUCAUAAGUCUUUACGGAGAAAGCUUUAUGCGCCAAUGGAUGAGCCCGCACUUGAUUAGUUUGUUGGUGGGGUAAUGGCCUACCAAGACUGUGAUCAAUAGCUGAUUUGAGAGGAUGAUCAGCCACAUUGGGACUGAGACACGGCCCAAACUCCUACGGGAGGCAGCAGUGGGGAAUCUUGCACAAUGGAGGAAACUCUGAUGCAGCGAUGCCGCGUGAGUGAAGAAGGCCUUUGGGUUGUAAAGCUCUUUCGUCGGGGAAGAAAAUGACUGUACCCGAAUAAGAAGGUCCGGCUAACUUCGUGCCAGCAGCCGCGGUAAUACGAAGGGACCUAGCGUAGUUCGGAAUUACUGGGCUUAAAGAGUUCGUAGGUGGUUAAAAAAGUUGGUUGUGAAAUCCCGGAGCUUAACUCCGGAACUGCAAUCAAAACUUUUUAGCUAGAGUAUGAUAGAGGAAAGCAGAAUUUCUAGUGUAGAGGUGAAAUUCGUAGAUAUUAGAAAGAAUACCAAUUGCGAAGGCAGCUUUCUGGAUCAUUACUGACACUGAGGAACGAAAGCAUGGGUAGCGAAGAGGAUUAGAUACCCUCGUAGUCCAUGCUGUAAACGAUGUGUGCUAGACGUUGGAAAUUUAUUUUUCAGUGUCGCAGCAAAAGCGUUAAGCACACCGCCUGGGGAGUACGACCGCAAGGUUAAAACUCAAAUGAAUUGACGGGGACCCGCACAAGCAGUGGAGCAUGUGGUUUAAUUCGAAGAUACGCGCAGAACCUUACCAACACUUGACAUGUUCGUCGCGACUCGAAGAGAUUCGAGUUUUCGGUUCGGCCGGACGAAACACAGGUGCUGCAUGGCUGUCGUCAGCUCGUGUCGUGAGAUGUUGGGUUAAGUCCCGCAACGAGCGCAACCCUUACUUUUAGUUGCCAUCAUUUAGUUGGGCACUCUGGAAGAACUGCCAGUGAUAAGCUGGAGGAAGGUGGGGAUGACGUCAAGUCCUCAUGGCCCUUACGUGUUGGGCUACACACGUGCUACAAUGACAUCUACAAUAGGAAGCAAGAUGGCGACAUCAAGCAAAUCCUAAAAAGAUGUCUCAGUUCGGAUUGUACUCUGCAACUCGAGUACAUGAAGCUGGAAUUACUAGUAAUCGCGGAUCAGCGCGCCGCGGUGAAUACGUUCCCGGGUCUUGUACACACCGCCCGUCACACCAUGGGAGUUGGUUCUACCUUAAGGCAAAGUUUUAAAACUUUGACCACGGUAUAGUCAGCGACUGGGGUGAAGUCGUAACAAGGUAGCCGUA
rnacentral:rRNA from 1 species